ACAAAGAAAUCAUAAGGAUAAUAGACCAACGCACAUACACACGCACACACACACACACACACUCAGCAGUGGGAUGCCCAGGCAGACAUGUGACCCGUUACACAAGCAGUCUGGGUAUUAUAAGCCCUGUGGAGGAAGUGUCUGAAGAGAGCACAGAGAUCAGGCUGGAGACACAGGAGUGUGUGUGUGUGUGUGUGUGUGAGGGACAGCACUGCUGUGUGUGUGUGAGGAGGCUCCGGUCAGGGCAGUGAUCUGAGAGAAAAAGGGAGAGAGAGGGACUCUGAGAUGUUUUUCCGUCUGCCCCGUCUGACCCCCGGAUAUAUCCGCUACCUGCAGACUCAGGCGGUGCGGAGUGAGCUGCAGAGGGACCGGCCCCUGGCGUCGCGCUUCGCCAUGCUGCUGGGCCUCAUGGGCUUUGGGAUGUCCGGCUACAGCUCCCGCCAGCUAACGCUGCACUACAAGCCGUCGCCACACCUGCUGCGGUGAAGAAACGAGAGAGAGACAAAGAAAAGAGAGACACAGAAGACAAGGGGUAUUAGAAGGGCUAGCGGAGGUAGAGCUCAGCCAUUCCGGAUAGCUUACUGGCUAACAGAAUACUGUAGGCCUGUAGCUAUAGCUUGUACUUGAUGUUAUUUAUACAGCGUAUGACACAGCCCUCCACAUGCACUCAUAGAGUAGUCGGUUUUAAAGCUGAAGUUAAUCAGAGAACACUUUUUUUUGUGGAAGUAGACGCAGCGUCAUGCUAAAGCUAAUAGUCUUGAUGUGCUUGAGAGGAUGGCCAAUCCUCAACCAAGCGCUCCCCAGUCUGUUCUGAGAUUAUACCAUGGUAUAGACAAUUUUACCCAUGAUGCUGCACUCUGUUAG